UGGAUUGAGACACGUACAAACCUUAUCGAUAAACAAUUGGAGGGCAAGUCUGGUGCCAGCAGCCGCGGUAAUUCCAGCUCCAAUAGCGUAUAUUAACGUUGUUGCAGUUAAAAAGCUCGUAGUUGAAAUGAAGGGUAGUUGUGUAAUGAAUACAUUCGUGUAUUUUGUUAUUCUACUACCCUCCUUCUAAAUUCGAUAUAUGAGUAUUAAUUUACUUGUAUAUGGUUUUAGACGUUUACUGUGAGAAAAUUAGAGUGUUCAAAGCAGGCAUUUGCUUGAAUAUAUUAGCAUGGAAUAAUCAUGUAUGAUUUUCAUGAUGUAUUUGAUUGGUUUGGUUCAUGAGAAUAAGAUUAAAAGGGACAGUUGGGGGUAUUCAUAUUCAAUAGUCAGAGGUGAAAUUCUCGGAUUUAUGGAAGAUGAACAAGUGCGAAAGCAUUUACCAAGGAUGUUUUCAUUAAUCAAGAACGAAAGUUAGGGGAUCGAAGAGGAUUAGAUACC
rnacentral:rRNA from 1 species